rnacentral:rRNA from 1 species
GCGGCUGCACCACUGGGAUACCCUGAUCCAACAUCGAGGUCGUAAACCCACUUGUCGAUAGGGGCUCUUGAAGUGGAUUGCGCUGUUAUCCCUAGGGUAACUUGGUUCGUUGCUCAAAAUAUUGGGUCAAGUUAUGUCAGUUUAUUGGUGCUUAAAGUUGUGGCUUUUGGCUCAAGAGGAGAUCUAUCCAACAUGGAGGUUAGGUUUUGCUCCGUGGUCACCCCAACCCAAAACUAAUAGUCAAAAGGCUAAGAUAAGUAUAGGUAUUCUGAAAUUAUAUAGGUAAAUAAGCCAUUGCUAUGUUGUUUGAAGCUCCAUAGGGUCUUCUCGUCUGAUAGUCUUAUCCCCGCUUCUUCACGGGGAGAUCAGUUUCAUUGAUUAGAAAAAGGAGACAGUAUAACCCUCGUGGUGCCAUUCAUACUAGUCCUCAUUUAAAGAACAAGUGAUUACGCUACCUUCGCACGGUUAGGAUACCGCGGCCGUUGAAUUUAGUCACUGGGCAGGCUGGACCUCUUAUAUGUGUUCAAGAGGCGAUGUUUUUGGUAAACAGGCGAGGUUAAUAUUUGCCGAGUUCCUUCUUUUUCUUUAAAUCUUUCUUGGAAUGUGUUAGUGUUAGGUUAACGGUUUAGGUAGCAGGGUUUUCUAGUGAAGUUGCUGUUUUACAAUCAUAAACGAUAAGUGCCAGUGGUGUGUCCUUUCUGGCUUACACUUACAUUUAAGAGAAGGUCUGCUUCAUAUUACUAGUUUUAACAUAAUAGCUUCUAUAAAUUUAUAGAAUUACUUAAUAGGAAUAAAGGG